GCUGCCUGGGGAACAAGCUUGUUACAAUCAACAUGCCUGGUGCAUUUAGCAGCGAUGUGCUCAGUGCAAAUGGGACGCAGGACUGAGCACAUGGAUGUCUUUGUGCAGGGAGCAACUGUUUCAACUUGGAACGACAGCCGGUAUGUGUGUCACUUGGAGUUUGUUCAAAUUAAUUCUGCAGUGCUUGAAUAGUUUAUCACAAAUUAAAAACAUCAAAGUUAAAAUUGUAACAAUAUAGCUUUGUUCAAAAACUAUAGGAAUGUAAUUGGUGUACAGAAAGUAUUCAGAUCCCCUUACAUUUUUCAGUUAUUGCAGCCAUUUGGUAAAUUUGAAGUUAAUUUUUUCAUAAUGUACACACAGCACCCCAUAUUGACAGAAAAAAAAGGAAUUGUUGAAAUGUUUGCAGAUUUAUUAAAGGAAAAUCUGAAAUCACACAGCCGUAAGUAUUCAGACCUUUUGUUGUGACACUCUUGUUAACUGGUGCUGAUCAUCCUUGAAAUGGUUGUACACCUUCAUUGGAGUCAGCUGUUUGAUUGGACUUGAUUAGGAAAGCCACACACCUGUCUAUAUAAUACCUUACAGUGCAUGGCAGAGGAACUGCCAGAAGAGCUCAGACCUGGCCAAGGUUGCAAAUUUGUGCUGCACUUAGGGUUCCGAUGAGCACAGAACUUGACAAUUUUUCAAUGUGCCUGGCCUGUCUACUCAUUCUGCCUGGAGUCCUAGUUCUUUCCUGGAUGAAAACCUUCUCCAGAGUGGUCUGGGCUGAGAGACUUGAAAAUGGCUGUCUACAAACGUUCACCAUCCAACCUGACAGAAGUGGAGAGCAUCCCCAAAUCCCGUGCUUGGAGUCUCAUUUCUCCCAAUUGGUUGCCUGGGGAACCAGCAGGUGUGGCUCCCGACAAUAAGAGCACCUGGUGAAUUUAGCAGAGACAUGCUCAGUAGAAAUGGAGAUGCAGGACUGAGCACAUGGAGCUCUUCUAAAGUGUUUGAAGCUGUGCAGAAAGCAAACUUUUCAACUCUGAAGGACAGCUGCUUGGACCACUUGUCAAAAUUUGUGGUAGUUGGAGUGUAAUCCAGUUUGAAUGUUUUGAAGAGGUCACCACAUCUUGGGAGUGGGAAAGGGCAAAAAUCAAUCUUGUCCUUCAAGAAUCGGCUUUGCUGGGGGACCAGGGUGUCGUCAGCCAGCUGUGACUGCAGAAAACGUGAGGGGAUGACUUGGAUCCGUAUCUUUGGAGUUUAUUUCAGGUGCUGUUGUGACCAGGAUAAGAGGGUCUGCGUUACUCUGCAUGGAUGAUUCCCAGCAAAAGGUUCACAACCCAGUUUGCCAAGACGGUGGGAGGAAACUCACUCAUCUCAGUAUGAUUCAUCAACAAAGAUGGCGUGAUUGCUGUAGCUGACGUAUGUUGUCUUAGUGGAUGAAGCUGUGUGACAAAAGAGGGGCCUGUCAUUUUGGGAUGAAGCAAAAGUCCAGCUGUGUGCCAAGCUGAAGCUAGCGAACUGCCUGCAUUUCCACCAGAGGAGGGAAGACUCACACCUCAGCUCAAGUAUAUUUUUUGUCCACAUCUCUAAUGGACGAUUCGCCAGAGGUCAUCCCAACGGCCUGUUAGCAACUUCUGUUGCACGCUGCCUCCGGUCCAGAAGCAUCCCUCCCGCAACAUUGAGAUGAUGGAGUGGAAAGUAGACAAUUAGCGAAUUCCUCCCUCAAGAUUCAAACAUUGACACUGUAGUCUCUCCUCCGCCAAGGUGAUUACGCAGGAGUAUUUUAAUUGCCAUCCCGACAGGUGCUGCUGUUUUUUUUGUCAAUGAUCAAAAAUAAAAGCGCUUGGGAUGACUUAACCUUGUUUUUUAAUUAGCGCUCUCAAGCAGACUAUUGCAAUGCUCCACACAAAUGAGUGUUCAAGAGGCCUGUGCCAAAAAAUAAAAACGACUUAUACUAUUGUAUUACAUUUCAUACAAUAUGUGCCCGUGAGGAGGAUAAGGCCCCCCCCCACUUGAACCUUAAAGAAAUUAUGACGGGCCUGGACAUCAUACCGAUAAAAUCGUGGACUCGCAUCAGCUAACUAACCCUGUCAAACUACGAUAAUAAUUGCACCUGUGAAGAGCCACUAAUAUUACUACAGCUUACUGAAGUUUUGACUGGCUCCUGAGCGUCUCCGUACCACAAUGUCCAUUCAAUUUAAGCAACAUUUCAAAUGUGGUCACACAACAAAUUCAACUUGUAUCUUAAAGCUUUUUUGGGGGCUAGA